rnacentral:rRNA from 1 species
UACGAAGGGGGCUAGCGUUGUUCGGAAUUACUGGGCGUAAAGGGCGCGUAGGCGGUACUUCAAGUCAGGCGUGAAAGCCCCGGGCUCAACCUGGGAACCGCGCUUGAGACUGGAGAACUAGAGUUCGGGAGAGGAUGGUGGAAUUCCCAGUGUAGAGGUGAAAUUCGUAGAUAUUGGGAAGAACAUCGAUGGCGAAGGCAGCCAUCUGGACCGACACUGACGCUGAGGCGCGAAAGCGUGGGGAGCAAACGGG